UAUGAUGAUCCUUAUCACGGGAAUCAUUUCUAAGUGUAUUAUAGCUUCGUAUGGUCUUAUACUUACCUCUAGGCGAAGCUGUUUUUCUUUUUUUCUAUUUAGUUAAGACUUAUUCUUGGAUUCAUCGCUCUAGAAAUUUACCUAUAAUCUAGUGACCAAUAAAAAAUUGUCAAAUCACAUAGUAUUUUUGAAGUAAAAUAAAAGAAAAUAAAAAAUAGUAGUAAUUACCAAAAGAAACGAUUUUUUAAAUGUUGUUAACACCGUCAGUUAAACUCUAAAUUCUAAACACUAAACUCUAAACCAUAGAUCUUAAACCCUAAAACUUUAGAUAAAACUUUUGGAUAAAUUCUAAUGUGUUUUCUAGGGUUUAAGAUUUACCUAAAGAUUUAGGAUUUAUCCAAAGAUGUAGUAUUUAGUGUUUAGGAUUUAAUGUUUAGUGUUUAUGAUUUAGAAUGUAAGUGUUUUCUAGGGGUUAAAGUUUAUCCAAGAGUUUAUGGUUUUCCAAAAGGUUUAUGGUUUAUCUAAAAAUUAAGGUUUAAUGUUUAAUAUUUAGGAUUUAAGAUUUAGAGUUUAAUUGAUUGAUUAUGUUAGUAACAUUAGAAAAGAAUUCAUUUCCUUUGGUAAUUAUUAAUAAUUUUUGUUUUUUUUAAGAAAUGUCAAGUGACUUGUCAAAUUUUUAUUGGUUAUUGGGGUGAAGUCAAAAAUAACUCUUUAGUUAAUUUGUUUAUAUUGCCUGCUAAAAUUCUAGAAGUUACUCUUUUUGUUUCUUUUUUUUCUGUAUUUUAGUUUUUAGUAUGCUAUUAGUUACUGUUUAGUAAAAUUAAUAUAAAAUUUAACAUUUACAUUAAAAUAUAUGUUUCGAACACCAAUUAAGGUCAUAUACUGACUCGAGUUUCUACUUUAGCAAAUUAUUUUUAUAUAUCCUGCUUCAUUAUCCUUUGAUUAUUUUAUUUAUUUAGUACUAAUGUUUUUUUUUAAAACAGACCAAAUCGUGAUUCGAUAGUAUAAUAGAAUCAGCGGUUAAAUAAUUCAACUAGUCUCACCAGGUUUUCAAAAUUUUAAUUAAAUAAAAAUAGAUAAUGUAUAAUAAA
rnacentral:lncRNA from 1 species